rnacentral:rRNA from 1 species
CCUACGGGUGGCUGCAGUGAGGAAUAUUGGUCAAUGGACGAGAGUCUGAACCAGCCAAGUAGCGUGAAGGAUGACUGCUCUAUGGGUUGCAAACUUCUUUUAUAUGGGAAUAAAACGUUCCACGUGUGGGAUUCUGUAUGUACCAUAUGAAUAAGGAUCGGCUAACUCCGUGCCAGCAGCCGCGGUAAUACGGAGGAUCCGAGCGUUAUCCGGAUUUAUUGGGUUUAAAGGGAGCGUAGGUGGAUUGUUAAGUCAGUUGUGAAAGUUUGCGGCUCAACCGUAAAAUUGCAGUUGAAACUGGCAGUCUUGAGUACAGUGGAGGUGGGCGGAAUGCGUGGUGUAGCGGUGAGAUGCUUAGAUAUCGCGAAGAACUCCGAUUGCGAAGGCAGUUCACUGGACUGCAACUGACGCUGAGGCUCGAAAGUGUGGGUAUCAAACAGGAUUAGAUACCCUAGUAGUC